CUAAUACAUGCAAGUCGAACGAAACUUUCUUACACCGAAUGCUUGCAUUCACCGUAAGAAGUUGAGUGGCGGACGGGUGAGUAACACGUGGGUAACCUGCCUAAAAGAAGGGGAUAACACUUGGAAACAGGUGCUAAUACCGUAUAUCUCUAAGGAUCGCAUGAUCCUUAGAUGAAAGAUGGUUCUGCUAUCGCUUUUAGAUGGACCCGCGGCGUAUUAACUAGUUGGUGGGGUAACGGCCUACCAAGGUGAUGAUACGUAGCCGAACUGAGAGGUUGAUCGGCCACAUUGGGACUGAGACACGGCCCAAACUCCUACGGGAGGCAGCAGUAGGGAAUCUUCCACAAUGGACGCAAGUCUGAUGGAGCAACGCCGCGUGAGUGAAGAAGGUCNUCGGAUCGUAAAACUCUGUUGUUAGAGAAGAANACGAGUGAGAGUAACUGUUCANUCGAUGACGGNAUCUAACCAGCAAGUCACGGCUAACUACGUGCCAGCAGNCGCGGUAAUACGUAGGUGGCAAGCGUUGUCCGGAUUUAUUGGGCGUAAAGGGAACGCAGGCGGUCNUUUAAGUCUGA
rnacentral:rRNA from 1 species